rnacentral:rRNA from 1 species
GCUGGCGGUAUGCUUAACACAUGCAAGUCGUACGCGAAAGCUCCCUUCGGGGGGCGAGUAAAGUGGCGCACGGGUGAGUAACACGUGGAUAAUCUGCCCAGUAAUCCGGGAUAACAUCUCGAAAGAGAUGCUAAUACCUGAUAAGCCCACGACGUCUUCGGACGACGCGGGAAAAGGUGGGGACCUUCGGGCCUGCCGUUACUGGAUGAGUCCGCGGCCCAUUAGCUAGUUGGUAGGGUAAUGGCCUACCAAGGCGACGAUGGGUAGCUGGUCUGAGAGGAUGAUCCGCCACACUGGAACUGAGACACGGUCCAGACUCCUACGGGAGGCAGCAGUGGGGAAUUUUGCGCAAUGGGCGGAAGCCUGACGCAGCAAUACCGCGUGAGUGAUGAAGGCUCUCGAGUCGUAAAGCUCUGUCAGAGGGGAAGAACCUCCUGUCGUUUAACCGCGGCAGGCCUGACGGUACCCUCAGAGGAAGCACCGGCUAACUCCGUGCCAGCAGCCGCGGUAAUACGGAGGGUGCGAGCGUUGUUCGGAAUUAUUGGGCGUAAAGAGCAUGUAGGCGGUUGUUUAA